CCUACGGGAGGCAGCAGUGGGGAAUAUUGCACAAUGGGGGAAACCCUGAUGCAGCGACGCCGCGUGAGUGAAGAAGUAUCUCGGUAUUGAAAGCUCUAUUAGCAGGGAAGAAAAUGACGGUACGUGACUAAGAAGCCCCGGCUAACUACGAGCCAGCAGCCGCGGUAAUACGGAGGGUGCAGGGGUUAUCCGGAUUUACUGGGUGUAAAGGGAGCGUAGACGGCUGUGCAAGUCCGGAGUGAAAGUCCAUGGCUUAACCUUGGUACUGCUCUGGAAACUGUGGAGCUUGAGUGCGGGAGGGGCAGGCGGAAUGCCUGGUGUAGCGGUGAAAUGCGUAGAUAUCAGGAGGAACACCGGCGGCGAAGGCGGCCUGCUGGACCAUAACUGACGUUGAGGCUCGAAAGCGUGGGGAGCAAACAGGAUUAGAUACCCUUGUAGUC
rnacentral:rRNA from 1 species